rnacentral:rRNA from 1 species
GGCUUAGAGUUUGAUCAUGGCUCAGGAUAAACGCUGGCGGCGCACAUAAGACAUGCAAGUCGAACGGACUUAAUCGAAAUAUUUAUAUUUUGAAGCGGUUAGUGGCGGACUGGUGAGUAACGCGUGAGGAACCUGCCUGUUAGAGGGGAAUAACAGUGAGAAAUCACUGCUAAUACCGCAUAUGCCAUAGUUACCACAUGGUAAUAGUGGGAAAGGAGCAAUCCGCUGACAGAUGGCCUUGCGUCUGAUUAGAUAGUUGGUGGGGUAACGGCCUACCAAGUCGACGAUCAGUAGCCGGACUGAGAGGUUGAACGGCCACAUUGGGACUGAGAUACGGCCCAGACUCCUACGGGAGGCAGCAGUCGGGAAUAUUGCGCAAUGGAGGGAACUCUGACGCAGUGACGCCGCGUAUAGGAAGAAGGUUUUCGGAUUGUAAACUAUUGUCGUUAGGGAAGAGAAAGGACAGUACCUAAGGAGGAAGCUCCGGCUAACUACGUGCCAGCAGCCGCGGUAAUACGUAGGGAGCGAGCGUUAUCCGGAAUUAUUGGGUGUAAAGGGUGCGUAGACGGGAGAACAAGUUAGUUGUGAAAUACCUCGGCUCAACUGAGGAACUGCAACUAAAACUGUACUUCUUGAGUGCAGGAGAGGUAAGUGGAAUUCCUAGUGUAGCGGUGAAAUGCGUAGAUAUUAGGAGGAACACCAGUGGCGAAGGCGACUUACUGGACUGUAACUGACGUUGAGGCACGAAAGUGUGGGGAGCAAACAGGAUUAGAUACCCUGGUAGUCCACACCGUAAACGAUGGAUACUAGGUGUAGGAGGUAUUAAGCCUUCUGUGCCGUCGCAAACGCAGUAAGUAUCCCACCUGGGGAGUAC